GACGAACGCUGGCGGCGUGCUUAACACAUGCAAGUCGUGCGGUAAGGCCCUUUCGGGGGUACACGAGCGGCGAACGGGUGAGUAACACGUGAGCAACCUGCCCUUCAUUUUGGGAUAACUGCCGGAAACGGUGGCUAAUACCGGAUAUGACUUCCUCACGCAUGUGGGGUGGUGGAAAGCCUUCGGGUGGUGGGGGAUGGGCUCGCGGUCUAUCAGCUUGUUGGUGGGGUGAUGGCCUACCAAGGCUUCGACGGGUAGCCGGCCUGAGAGGGUGACCGGCCACACUGGGACUGAGACACGGACCAGACUCCUACGGGAGGCAGCAGUGGGGAAUAUUGGACAAUGGGCGAAAGCCUGAGCCAGCAACGCCGCGUUAGGGAUGACGUCCUGCGGGUUAUAAACCUCUUUCGCCUGCGACGAAGCGAGAGUGACGGUAGCAGGUAAAGAAGCACCGGCCAACUACGUG
rnacentral:rRNA from 1 species